GAUGAACGCUGGCGGCGUGCUUAACACAUGCAAGUCGAACGGGAAAUAUUUCAUUGAGACUUCGGUGGAUUUGAUCUAUUUCUAGUGGCGGACGGGUGAGUAACGCGUGGGUAACCUGCCUUAUACAGGGGGAUAACAGUCAGAAAUGGCUGCUAAUACCGCAUAAGCGCACAGUAGCUGCAUGGCUCAGUGUGAAAAACUCCGGUGGUAUAAGAUGGACCCGCGUUGGAUUAGCUUGUUGGUGAGGUAACGGCCCACCAAGGCGACGAUCAGUAGCCGGCCUGAGAGGGUGAACGGCCACAUUGGGACUGAGACACGGCCCAAACUCCUACGGGAGGCAGCAGUGGGGGGAUAAUUUCGGCACC
rnacentral:rRNA from 1 species